rnacentral:rRNA from 1 species
UACGUAGGGUGCGAGCGUUAAUCGGAACUACUGGGCGUAAAGCGUGCGCAGGCGGUUUUGUAAGCCAGAUGUGAAAUCCCCGGGCUUAACCUGGGAAUGGCAUUUGGGACUGCAAGGCUUGAGUGCGGCAGAGGAGACUGGAAUUCCUGGCGUAGCAGUGAAAUGCGUAGAUAUCAGGAGGAACACCGAUGGCGAAGGCAGGUCUCUGGGCUGACACUGACGCUCAUGCACGAAAGCGUGGGGAGCAAACAGG